AUGUGGGCUUGUGUGUGCAAGUGCACAAAUGUGCAUCUGAUAUGCUCUGAACCAGAAAAAAAAAAAAAAAACCUUUUUUUCUCCAGAGCAAAGAAGCUCAGAGGAAGAAGAGCACUGCUUCUUCAGCAGUGCCCCCACCACUGCUCCUCCCAGCUGCUGCAGGCUGACGUGUGGUCCCAGCACAGAUUAGUUUUCAGCCAAAUUGGUUCUGCAGAAAACCAGAAAACCAGCAGCAACUGGAACCUCGUGCCAUGGCAGGAUGUACUGCGUGUGCCGGCCUGGGGGCACAGCGCAUCAGGACAACGAUGUCUCCCCAGGGCUCAUGCUGGAUGACAGUGCUUGGCAGGCAGCCUGGCUGCAAGGGCUUCAUGCAUAAAUACAUAUACAUGGCCAUGAGAUACGCUUCUGACAUUCACGUAUCAGUUUCGCAAGAGGAGAUGAUCAGAUUUAACAGCUCGCUGUCACUGCUGUUGUUCUUCCUCCACUUUCAUUGCCCUUUCCCACCCACUGCUCCUUGGAUAUCUCCAUGAGCCUCUUUGACACACUGUGCUGUGCCAGCGCCAUGGCUGGUGCAACCAACCCCAUGCACAAGCAUAAUGCUCCCCCACCACGCUGCCUGGUGCUGGGGCAAUGCAAUCACCCUCUGGGAAUCCCAGCCCAGCUGCUGCAGCUGCCAUGUUAGCAUGGGGCCGGCUGGCACACUGCGUGUAAGGCUUCCCAAUUCAUAGUCAUCUAAGCUGAAUGGCUCUUGCAGUUUCUCUGUUACUACUGGAAAUAGCAAUAGGGAUAAUUGGUACUUUGUUUUUGUAUCUUUGAGACCUUAUCUGAAGAUCCCCAAACAGUCUGCCAGUGCCAGUAAAGAUUCUCAAGCAUUGUGCCAGCAGACAUGGGCUAGUUGAGCAACUUGCCUAAGAGCACAGAGGAGAUGUUCCUGGUUUUGCUGCUAACAUGACAACACAAGCUCUGACCUUUAAUUUCUGGCUCUCAGCAGCACCUCUCUCGCAUGCUGUCACCAACAGGUGUGUUGCUGAUUGACGUCAGUGGCCACGGCUCCCAGAGGAGAUGCACCCGCAGCGCUCCUGAUUGGUCUCUUUUUCACCAUUAAUAAGCCACGGAAGAUGGACGGAGUGACCCCGAGUUCCAUUAUGCUCCAAACAUGCCAAAAAGGUGUUACUGCAGGCACCGCCUUUUGUUCCUGGCUCCCAGCUGAUUUGGACUUGAGGAUAAAGUUGAACCAGAUGAAAAGAUAAAACAUUGGCACUGAAAUCCGUCUCAUAACCUCUGGAGAUCUGAUUUGUGAUUCUUCAAACUUUUUUUCUGUUAACACAGUUGAAUACAUUUGUUUGCUCCUUCCUGCAUGUUGUUACCAGCAAAACCUCCAAUUACUAAAGGCAAAAAAGGUCAUAAUUCCUGCUGUUUGUAUUUUGCAUUUCUCCUAGGCUGGAUAAUGAAAAUCAAUAAAACCACUUUCCCUGCCA
rnacentral:lncRNA from 1 species